GAGAAAAAAUUACUGAAUUUUAUUCGCAUAAAAUCUCUUAAUUGAUUUGUUUAUACGCUUACAUAAUAACUUUGUAAGCACUCAUCAACAUUUGAUGCAAUCAUCUUUUAAUAAUAUACGCGGAAAACAAUUUUUUCAGCAUUUGGAAACGUAUGCAUUACACUCACGUGUUUAAUCUUCGCUUAUAACUUCAAGAUAUUUCUUAGCUAUAUUUCUUAGCUAUUUUUCUUGUUUAAAUAAAAAAUAUGCUGGUUUAUAACCAGUUUUUUAGUGAAUAAUAAUAAAAUUUGCAUGAGUAAGAAGAAUCUGAAAAUUAUAAAUUGCGGAUGCGCAAGAGAAACAUCAUAGUGUGUAUUUUUUUGUUGAAACGAUAAAACUGUGUAAAAAAUUUGGAAUAGAUAAUAAAUUAUGACAAAAAAUAUUAAAAUUGUCACAACAGAAUGAAAGCACUUCUUAACAUUUACCUGACAAUCACGAUAAUAGCAGCUGUGAUAUUAUCAUUUGGAAUAAGUGCAUCUACAAUUAUAUCUACUACCACAAAACUACCUACUAUCUUCUAUGCAUCCACUAUCAUAGGUGUUCCUUCAAGAUCAUAUUGCCCAACAGGCCAAAAAAAAAUGCUCACGGAAUAUGUCGCAAGAUGGUAUAACGGUGAUGACAUGCAGAUCGUCAAUAUUCUCGCAUCAUCAUGAAAAGAAUCCUUAAUAAUGUUUCUGAUAAUAGACGCCAAUGUAAAAUCAUAUCUACGUAGAACCACAAAUUCACGUUCUAGCAUCACACCUAUAAGUACUACCAUUGAUUCACAACAGUUUUAUGGCUAUUUUAUAACAGCACCUGAAAAAAUGACGAUUACGACAAUGUGCCAAAACUCAAAAACAUUGAUCAUUUUUAAAACUCCAACAUCGCCAAUUAACAGCUAAAUAAUCCAAUAAAGAUGAUAGGCUAAUUUAGAAAAUACAAAAAUUAUAUAAUGGUCUAUAAAAAAAUAAAUAUCAAUUUUUAUUUUCAUGAAUAGAUAGUUGUAAU